UAUGGCUCAAUGGUAGAGUGGUUGUCCAACAUUCAAGAAAUCCUGGGUUCAAUUCCCAGUA
rnacentral:tRNA from 1 species